CCUACGGGAGGCAGCAGUGGGGAAUAUUGGGCAAUGGGCGCAAGCCUGACCCAGCAACGCCGCGUGAAGGAAGAAGGCAUUCGGGUUGUAAACUUCUUUUGUCAGGGAAGAGGAGAAGACGGUACCUGACGAAUAAGCCACGGCUAACUACGUGCCAGCAGCCGCGGUAAUACGGAGGUGGCAAGCGUUGUCCGGAUUUACUGGGGGGACAGGGCGGGUAGCCGGGUUGACAAGUCAGUGGUGAAAUCCUGCGGCUUAACCGCAGAACUGCAUUUGAAACUGUUGAUCUUGAGUACCGGAGAGGCAGGUGGAAUGCCUAGUGGAGCGGGGAAAUGCGGAGAUAUUAGGAGGAACACCAGUGGCGAAGGCGGUCUGCUGGACAGCAACUGACGGUGAGGCGCGAAAGCGUGGGGAGCAAACAGGAUUAGAUACCCCAGUAGUC
rnacentral:rRNA from 1 species